rnacentral:rRNA from 1 species
GACGAACGCUGGCGGCGUGCUUAACACAUGCAAGUCGAACGGAAAGGCUCUGCUUUUGUGGGGUGCUCGAGUGGCGAACGGGUGAGUAACACGUGAGUAACCUGCCCUUGACUUUGGGAUAACUUCAGGAAACUGGGGCUAAUACCGGAUAGGAGCUCCUGCUGCAUGGCGGGGGUUGGAAAGUUUCGGCGGUUGGGGAUGGACUCGCGGCUUAUCAGCUUGUUGGUGGGGUAGUGGCUUACCAAGGCUUUGACGGGUAGCCGGCCUGAGAGGGUGACCGGCCACAUUGGGACUGAGAUACGGCCCAGACUCUUACGGGAGGCAGCAGUGGGGAAUAUUGCACAAUGGGCGGAAGCCUGAUGCAGCAACGCCGCGUGCGGGAUGACGGCCUUCGGGUUGUAAACCGCUUUCGCCUGUGACGAAGCGUGAGUGACGGUAAUGGGUAAAGAAGCACCGGCUAACUACGUG